UAUCAGCUUUGUAUCAUCUAUCUAGCUACUAUACUCUUUCCCUUAUUAGGGACAGAAGCAAUGAAUUGGUUGGUCCUUCCUAGCUUCCCUUAUUUCAGUUGGAACAGAUUUGACCAUGCUAAAGGAGUCACCUACUCCAGGAUCACGGCAAUGAGAUCACAGGCUUUUUUUGAAGGACGUUGACUAUAACUGAACGCAGAACUCCAGCUGAGAGCCUCGCAGUGUGAACAGAGCAGAUGGAAAUCCUCGUGUGCCUUCCAACCUGCACUGCUGCUUACACAGCCCCGUGUUGUGGCUCCUCUUUUGCUAGAGCCUGACUUCACRGACUCCUGCUCCUUGCUACUACAACUGCAGGCUCUUUUCUGAGAAGCUGACAGCUCCUCAGUAAAAACAUCAAGCAGAAAUGGAAACUGAACAGAUUCCUGUGGAAUCCCUCCCAAAGAUGCCUGCAUUGAAAUAAAGAACUACUG